ensembl:misc_RNA Metazoa_SRP Metazoan signal recognition particle RNA
GCUGGGCGCGGCAGUGCAUGCCUGUAGUCCCAGCUACUCUGGAGGCUGAGGUGGGAGGAUCACUUGAGCCCAGGAGUUCUGGGCUGUAGUGCACUAUGCUGAUUGGGUGUCUGCACUAAGUUUGGCAUCAAUAUGGUGACCUCCUGGGAGUGGGGGACCACCAGGUUGCCUAAGGAGUGGUGAACCAGCCCAGGUCAAAAAUGAAGUAGGUCAAAACUCCCGUGCUGAUCAGUAGUGGGAUCACACCUGUGAAUAGGCACUGCACUCCAACCUGGGCAACACAGCGAGACCCCAUCUCUA